GCUCCACGCUCCUCCCCUCCUUUCCCCUCCCGCAGCGUCCUGCGCGCAUGCGCUUCGCAGCUUCUCUCGCCGCCGCGCCCCUAGCUGCUCUGGUUACAGUUGGUGUUUGCGAAUUCUCUGCAGCGCCUUCUUCGCGGAACUCCACCGUCAGUUCCAUAAGCGCGCGCCCGCGUCACGUGGGCCGAGGUUCCGUCGCGGCUGCUGGCCGGCGGCUGAGCCGGGAGAAAGGAGCUGCGGCCACCGUUCGCCCUACCUCUGCGCCUCGGGGCGGGCGCGCCGGUAAAAAUGGCGAAAUGGGGGUAGGCGGCGCUGGACCUGAAGAGAUGGGGCGCGCAGGUGGGGCGGUUGUCAGAGCCCCCUGACGUGGGCGCCGGGCUUUUAUCGGCGAUUUGAUCUGGCGACCUCGGGCCGGCGCCUAAGAGGUCAGACUGCGGAGCCUGCGGGUCGCCAACGGCCCCGCCGAGAGCCGGAGGCAAUGGAUGAACAGAGCGUGGAGAGCAUUGCUGAGGUUUUCCGAUGUUUCAUUUGUAUGGAGAAAUUGCGGGAUGCACGCCUGUGUCCUCAUUGCUCCAAGCUGUGUUGUUUCAGCUGUAUUAGGCGCUGGCUGACAGAGCAGAGAGCUCAAUGUCCUCAUUGCCGUGCUCCACUCCAGCUACGAGAACUAGUAAAUUGUCGUUGGGCAGAAGAAGUAACACAACAGCUUGAUACUCUUCAACUCUGCAGUCUCACCAAACAUGAAGAAAAUGAAAAGGACAAAUGUGAAAAUCACCAUGAAAAACUUAGUGUAUUUUGCUGGACUUGUAAGAAGUGUAUCUGCCAUCAGUGUGCACUUUGGGGAGGAAUGCAUGGCGGACAUACCUUUAAACCUUUGGCAGAAAUUUAUGAGCAACAUGUCACUAAAGUGAAUGAAGAGGUAGCCAAACUUCGUCGGCGUCUCAUGGAACUGAUCAGCUUAGUUCAAGAAGUGGAAAGGAACGUAGAAGCUGUAAGAAAUGCAAAAGAUGAGCGUGUUCGGGAAAUUAGGAAUGCAGUGGAGAUGAUGAUUGCACGGUUAGACACACAGCUGAAGAAUAAGCUUAUAACACUGAUGGGUCAGAAGACAUCUCUAACCCAAGAAACAGAGCUGUUGGAAUCCUUACUUCAGGAGGUGGAGCACCA
rnacentral:lncRNA from 1 species